CAAUCUAAAAGAACACAAACUCCAUCUGAAGCAGAGACUGUGAUAGAUAGGAUUAUCAUACAUCUACUCUAGCAGUUGGUAGAGUGCUUGCAUCUGAUGUAGCUAGAGGACCUGUUGCAAGUGGAUUGGGGCAAGAGGCAUUUAACACCACCAAUAAUGUUUCACAGCCAUUUGUGGAAUCUCAAUUCCUCAAGGUCUUCAGUGGCAGAAGAAAAGGUUAACAACCCUCAGACCAGUGUUGAUCUUUAACAGCAACAUUCCAGACAUUCUCUUUGCACUGUUCUUUUUUUCUCCAAAGGUUGCUAUCUCUGACAAUUCCUAUUGUCAUUUCAAAAGGACACUGUCUGUUUUUGGGCAGCAUCAUGUAACUCUGCCAAGAAAUGAUACUUGAAUGUGCUGAAUCCCUUUAAAUGUCCCAGAGAGCCCCAAGAUGUUGUUUGGGCUGAAAAAUAAAUUAAACCCAGUCAAAAUGGUGGACAUCA